rnacentral:rRNA from 1 species
GGAGGGAUCAUUACUGAGUUUACGCUCUACAACCCUUUGUGAACAUACCUAUAACUGUUGCUUCGGCGGGUAGGGUCUCCGUGACCCUCCCGGCCUCCCGCCCCCGGGCGGGUCGGCGCCCGCCGGAGGAUAACCAAACUCUGAUUUAACGACGUUUCUUCUGAGUGGUACAAGCAAAUAAUCAAAACUUUUAACAACGGAUCUCUUGGUUCUGGCAUCGAUGAAGAACGCAGCGAAAUGCGAUAAGUAAUGUGAAUUGCAGAAUUCAGUGAAUCAUCGAAUCUUUGAACGCACAUUGCGCCCGCCAGCAUUCUGGCGGGCAUGCCUGUUCGAGCGUCAUUUCAACCCUCAAGCUCUGCUUGGUGUUGGGGCCCUACAGCUGAUGUAGGCCCUCAAAGGUAGUGGCGGACCCUCCCGGAGCCUCCUUUGCGUAGUAACUUUACGUCUCGCACUGGGAUCCGGAGGGACUCUUGCCGUAAAACCCCCAAUUUUCCAAAGGUUGACCUCGGAUCAGGUAGGAAUACCCGCUGAACUUAAGCAUAUCAAUAAGCGGAGGAAAAGAAACCAACAGGGAUUGCCUCAGUAACGGCGAGUGAAGCGGCAACAGCUCAAAUUUGAA